rnacentral:rRNA from 1 species
UCCCGGCCGCCNUGGCGGCCGCGGGAAUUCGAUUAGAGUUUGAUCCUGGCUCAGGACGAACGCUGGCGGCGUGCCUAAUACAUGCAAGUCGCGCGGACUUCUUCGGAAGUCAGCGGCGGACGGGUGAGUAACACGUGGGCAAUCUGCCUUUCAGACUGGAAUAACGCCUGGAAACGGGUGCUAAUGCCGGAUAGGCAACGAGUAGGCAUCUACUUGUUGGGAAAGGUGCUACGGCACCACUGAGAGAGGAGCCCGCGGCGCAUUAGCUAGUUGGUGGGGUAACGGCCUACCAAGGCGACGAUGCGUAGCCGACCUGAGAGGGUGACCGGCCACACUGGGACUGAGACACGGCCCAGACUCCUACGGGAGGCAGCAGUAGGGAAUCUUCGGCAAUGGGCGCAAGCCUGACCGAGCAACGCCGCGUGAGCGAAGAAGGCCUUCGGGUUGUAAAGCUCAGUCAUCCGGGAAGAGAGACCAGGGGAGGGAAUGCCCCUGGAGAGACGGUACCGGGAGAGGAAGCCCCGGCUAACUACGUGCCAGCAGCCGCGGUAAUACGUAGGGGGCAAGCGUUGUCCGGAAUCACUGGGCGUAAAGCGUGCGUAGGCGGUUUGUUAAGUCUGAAGUGAAAGGCCAUGGCUCAACCAUGGGAAUGCUUUGGAAACUGGCAGACUUGAGUACUGGAGAGGCAAGGGGAAUUCCACGUGUAGCGGNGAAAUGCGUANAGAU